rnacentral:rRNA from 1 species
GUGAGUCAUCGAGUCUUUGAACGCAACUUGCACCAGCCAGCAAUGGAUGGUAUGUCUGUUUGAGUACGACAAUCAACUGCGCUUCGGUGCGAUGUGGCCCACCUGGUGGGUUGAAAAUGAGCCAGUCAGGCUGGACGGUCCUGCAGUGUGCUAGGGAUUGGGGCGUGUGCGUGGGAUGGGCGUAGAGUGCGGAUUGUGGCUAUGCCAUCGAUCUGCGCUCCACGCUAUCCCCCUCGCAUGCUCACUGUCUUGUCGCUGCCGGCGCCAACCAGCCAUCAACCACAACUACCACGUCUCAAAUCAGGCAAGAAGACCCGCUGAACUUAAGCAUAUCAAUAAGCGGAGG